CCUACGGGUGGCAGCAGUGGGGAAUAUUGGGCAAUGGGCGCAAGCCUGACCCAGCAACGCCGCGUGAAGGAAGAAGGCUUUCGGGUUGUAAACUUCUUUUCUCAGGGACGAAGAAAGUGACGGUACCUGAGGAAUAAGCCACGGCUAACUACGUGCCAGCAGCCGCGGUAAUACGUAGGUGGCAAGCGUUAUACGGAUUUACUGGGUGUAAAGGGCGUGUAGGCGGGGAAGCAAGUCAGAGGGGAAAACCACGGGCUCAACCUGGGGCCGGCAUUUGAAACUGUUUUUCUUGAUUACUGGGGAGGCAGACGGAAUUCCUAGUGUAGCGGUGAAAUGCGUAGAUAUUAGGAGGAACCCCAGUGGCGAAGGCGGUCUGCUGGACAGCAACGGACGCUGAGGCGCGAAAGCGUGGGGAGCAAACAGGAGUAGAUACCCAGUAGUC
rnacentral:rRNA from 1 species